CUAAUACAUGCAAGUCGAACGCUUUGUCUUUAACUGAUCUGACGAGCUUGCUCUGAUUUGAUUUUAUCUGACAAAGAGUGGCGAACGGGUGAGUAACACGUGGGUAACCUACCUCUUAGCAGGGGAUAACAUUUGGAAACAAGUGCUAAUACCGUAUAAUACCAACAACCGCAUGGUUGUUGGUUGAAAGAUGGUUCUGCUAUCACUAAGAGAUGGACCCGCGGUGCAUUAGCUAGUUGGUAAGGUAACGGCUUACCAAGGCAAUGAUGCAUAGCCGAGUUGAGAGACUGAUCGGCCACAAUGGGACUGAGACACGGCCCAUACUCCUACGGGAGGCAGCAGUAGGGAAUCUUCCACAAUGGGCGCAAGCCUGAUGGAGCAACGCCGCGUGUGUGAUGAAGGGUUUCGGCUCGUAAAACACUGUUAUAAGAGAAGAACGGCACUGAGAGUAACUGUUCAGUGUGUGACGGUAUCUUACCAGAAAGGAACGGCUAAAUACGUGCCAGCAGCCGCGGUAAUACGUAUGUUCCAAGCGUUAUCCGGAUUUAUUGGGCGUAAAGCGAGCGCAGACGGUUAUUUAAGUCUGAAGUGAAAGCCCUCAGCUCAACUGAGGAAUGGCUUUGGAAACUGGAUGACUUGAGUGCAGUAGAGGAAAGUGGAACUCCAUGUGUAGCGGUGAAAUGCGUAGAUAUAUGGAAGAACACCAGUGGCGAAGGCGGCUUUCUGGACUGUAACUGACGUUGAGGCUCGAAA
rnacentral:rRNA from 1 species